rnacentral:rRNA from 1 species
AGCCUAAAGAAAAUUUUAUUCUAGGUAUAACCUGCCCAGUGAUAAAAAUUAAACGGCCGCGGUAUCCUGACCGUGCAAAGGUAGCAUAAUAAUUUGUCUUAUAAUUGAUGACUAGAAUGAAUGGUUUAACGCGAUAUUACCUAUCUUUUCUCUUAAAUUAAAAUAAAACUUAAAGUAAAAAUGCUUUAUUUUUAAAAAAAGACAAGAAGACCCUAUAGAGCUUUAAUUCACCUAUUUAUUAAAAAGUUGAAUUUUUACUGGGGCGGUAAGAAAAAAUGAAAAACUUUUCUUAAAAUAAAAUUAAUUAUUUAUAUAAUCCUUUUCUGAAUAAAAUAAGCUACCUUAGGGAUAACAGACUAAUUUUUAUUUUAGAGUUCUUAUCGAAAAUAAAGUUUGGCACCUCGAUGUUGGCUUAGGGUAUAUGUAUUUCGAAGAAGAAAUAUAAUAUGGUUUGUUCAACCAAUAAUUCCCU